AAUAGAUACCCGGGUAGUCCACGCCGUAAACGAUGGAUACUAGCUGUUUGAGCGCAAGUUUGAGUGGCUAAGCGAAAGUGAUAAGUAUCCCACCUGGGGAGUACGGGCGCAAGCCUGAAACUCAAAGGAAUUGACGGGGGCCCGCACAAGCGGUGGAGCAUGUGGUUUAAUUCGAUGAUACGCGAGGAACCUUACCAGGGCUUAAAUGUAGAUUGACGUAUUUGGAAACAGAUAUUUCUUCGGACAAUUUACAAGGUGCUGCAUGGUUGUCGUCAGCUCGUGCCGUGAGGUGUCAGGUUAAGUCCUAUAACGAGCGCAACCCCUGUUGUUAGUUGCCAGCGAGUAAUGUCGGGAACUCUAGCAAGACUGCCAGUGUAAACUGUGAGGAAGGUGGGGAUGACGUCAAAUCAUCACGGCCCUUACGUCCUGGGCCACACACGUGCUACAAUGGCCGGUACAGAGAGCAGCCACUUAGCGAUAAGGAGCGAAUCUAUAAAAGCCGGUCACAGUUCGGAUCGGAGUCUGCAAC
rnacentral:rRNA from 1 species